UACGAAGGGGGCUAGCGUUGCUCGGAAUGACUGGGCGUAAAGGGCGCGUAGGCGGAUGGUACAGUCAGAUGUGAAAUUCCUGGGCUUAGCCUGGGGGCUGCAUUUGAUACGUGUUGUCUAGAGUGAGGAAGAGGGUCGUGGAAUUCCCAGUGUAGAGGUGAAAUUCGUAGAUAUUGGGAAGAACACCGGUGGCGAAGGCGGCGACCUGGUCCUUUACUGACGCUGAGGCGCGAAAGCGUGGGGAGCAAACAGG
rnacentral:rRNA from 1 species